CCUACGGGCGGCAGCAGUGAGGAAUAUUGGUCAAUGGCCGAGAGGCUGAACCAGCCAAGUCGCGUGAAGGAUGACUGCCCUACGGGUUGUAAACUUCUUUUAUCAAGGAGUAAAGUGAGGCACGUGUGCCUUUUUGUAUGUACUUUAUGAAUAAGGAUCGGCUAACUCCGUGCCAGCAGCCGCGGUAAUACGGAGGAUCCGAGCGUUAUCCGGAUUUAUUGGGUUUAAAGGGAGCGUAGAUGGGUUGUUAAGUCAGUGGUGAAAGUUUGCGGCUCAACCGUAAAAUUGCAAUUGAUACUGGCAGUCUUGAGUACAGUUGAGGUAGGCGGAAUGCGUGGUGUAGCGGUGAAAUGCUUAGAUAUCACGAAGAACUCCGAUUGCGAAGGCAGCUUACUAACCCGCCACUGACAUUGAUGCUCGAAAGUGUGGGUAUCAAACAGGAUUAGAUACCCCAGUAGUC
rnacentral:rRNA from 1 species